CUGCCUGCCCCUAUCUAAGCCUUUCUUUUUCUAAUUUUAAAAAAUAUUUAAUUUAUCCGGGCAGUGGUGGUGCACACCUUUAAUCCCAGCACUUGGGAGGCAGAGGUAGGUGGAUUUCUGACUUCGAGGCCAGCCUGGUCUACAGAGUGAGUUCCAGGACAGCCAGGGCUACACAGAGAAACCCUGUCUCAAAAAAUCAAAAAAAAUUUAAUUUAUUAUUCUAUGUGUGUGAGUGUUUUGCCUGUUUGUAUGUGUACCACAUGCAUGCCUGGUUCCCUCACAGGUCAGAAGUAGGCAGUGGAUCCUUUGUACUGGGGUUUCAGAUUGUUAUGAGUCACUGUGUGGGCACCAAGAAUUGAACCCAGGUCCUCUGCAAAAGUAAUCAUUGAGUCAUCUCUUUAGCCUCCCAAUGCCCAUUUUAAUAUAUUUUUAAAUUUUCUUAAUGGUUAGACUUUUUUUUUUAGUUCUUUGUAUGUUUGAUACACUCAUCCUCUUUCAGAUGAGCAGCUGGUAGAGAUUCCCACCUCACUGAUGUGUGGGCUCUCCUCUUCACUCACCUGACAGGUCACUGGAUAGAAAUUUUAGCUCCAUGCAGCAGUCCCCUUUGUUAGUAAUUGCUUCCAUCCUCCACACCACCAGGGUACUGUUCAGAAAGACUUUACCUCUAAGUUGAUGCAGAUGUUUGGCUGCUUGUACUGCAGUCUCAUGGUGUCAGGGCAUGUGUUGAUGUCCUUGAUCCAACUGAAAUUAAGUUCUGUGCAGUAUGAGAAGUAAAGGUGUCGCUUCAUUUUUCUGAAUAUUGAUCAUCAGGUUUAAGGGUGCAGGCAGGUGAGUGUGCACGCGCACGCACGUGUGUGCUCGAGCAUGCAUUGCCAUAUGUGUGAGUGUGGGGGUCUAUUUGUGUGUAUGAGCAUUGUGGGGGUAUGCAUGUGUUUCAUGUGUUUGAACAUGUGGGGCUACAUGUGUGCAUGUCUGUGUGGUGAGCACGUGUGUGGAGCAGGAGGUGCACGUGUGCAUGUGUGUACUGUUUCAUGUGCGCAUGUGUUUGGGGUAGGUGAAUGUGUGCAUGUGUGUGAGAGCAUGUGGGGGAACAUGUGUGCACGUGUGGGUGUGAGCAUAUGAGGGGUGCAUGUGUGCAUGUGUGUAUGAUCAUGUGAGAAGGGGUGCAUGUAUGGAUAAGUGUGUGUCUUCUUUGUCAGAUAUCAUGUGACUUUGUGCAGUAAUAUAUGGAUCUUCUACUCCAGUGCAUAAAUCUGUGUCUGGUUAUGUGUCAGUACCAUGCUCAUUUUUAUUACUACAGCUCUGUAGUAUAAUUUGAAAUCAGGUAAGGUGAUACCCCUGCAAUACCACAGAACACAGCGGAAUUUUAUACAAAUACAAUCAUGUGGAGGUUUUUUAUUCAUAUUUUACACUGAAAUGAAGUUCAUAGAAACAAAGAAAUCUUUAAAAUAGUUUUAUUUCACUCCUUGUUUUUAUCUGGGCACCACCUGUUCAACACACCCAGGAAACAUUGAGUGAUACCAGAGGUGGCCGCAAGAGGGCAACAAGCAUCUACCUGACCCACAGUUUCCCCAGGGUAAUUGCAAGCUACUGCCUUCUGGAAAAGCCCCUGUCUUGUUCUUUGUACAAACACUGUCACUUUUGUCCUUGUCCCCCUUGCAGCCACUUUUGAACUUGGACAGACAUAUCCCUGAAGACCACCUACUUAAUACCUGCUCUGACAUCCUAACACUGAGGUGGAAUCCUGGCUCCUUGGCAGUGAGAGUUCACAAGAGGUCGCAGGAGCUUCUCACAUGUCUGCUACCCAAGGAAUUGUCUUUAGGUCAUGCAUUCAUCCUGGAGGAUGAUUACAGCAAGUGAUUAGUGGGGCAUUUGUUGUUCUACAUUUCCUGGAAAGAUGUGAAAACACUUCCUUUCCUCCCAGAUAAGGUAUGUUGAAAAACGGGAGAUAGCUCCACCCAAGUCUCACUUAGUGCA
rnacentral:lncRNA from 1 species